rnacentral:lncRNA from 1 species
CUUUAGUCUUUCCUUUCUACCUUUCUGCCUCUCUCAGUAAAGGCUGUUAUUAAGUAACAAAUUCGGGUGGGUCAAGGGCAGAGUAACCAAGAGAUCUCAGCAAGCAUGAGGGAGAUUCAAGGAGCUGGCAUUGUGUGACUGGGGACAGAAAAGCCCUCAUGCAGGCAGGCGGGUCACAAUUGUUCCCUUCAGAUUUCUGAGGGGCUGCCUUGGUGGGAGAGGGGGUAGUUCAGUUCUGUGGGGCUCCAGGGGGCAAAAGGCAUGAUAAAUGAGUAGAAGUCAUGGAGAGGUGGAGCUUGCCUCCAGACAGAAUGCUAAGAAGGAUGCUGCUGCACAGUGGGGACUGAGCCAACUCACUGUUCAACAAAUAAGCAUUGGAGGGUCUCUAGUUCCAUAGAAAGAAGGCAAAUGAAGAGGACAGAAGAAGGAGAGAGACCUUCCCACCCCAUCAGCCCUAUGCUGCAGAGAGUUAAGUGAAGACAUAUGAUGUGCUCUGGCCAAUGAAAUGGAUCCCACAUCUACUUCUCUUGCAGAAACCAACUGGUGGAAGUGACCUUCUCAUGGAGUGUCCUUCACAAUCCUGGUGGAAGUCACAGGCCUGCCCAAGCUGGAGGACUGUCCCAUUCCAACAAGUGAAGGAGCUCUGCAGGGCCAUCUUGGAGCCUGGGGAUGUUCCUGGAGAGCACACAGACACACAACCAUGGUUCUACCACUGGAGUGACUUAUUGAGAAGAUAUUAGAAAGAUGCAGCACUUUCUGUUCUGGAAUGCAAAGAACACCAUCAUGCAAGCCUGGGCCUCAGAUCUGGACUUGGAUCCUCCUGCCUGGCUGUAUGAGGCUGACCAUGUCCCUUCUCUGUGUGGCCCCUGUCCCAUCCUCUAUCAAAGGAGGGAUUUCUAUUAGAUUGCUAAGAACUUGCUCAGUGCUGCCAACUCCAUUCAGGAUGAUGGCUGCCCACUCAUACCUGCAAUGGGUCAUGGACUGGGAAGCUGAUGAAACUGCAACUGGCAUGGGCUGCUGGGAGCCACCAUACAUGGAGGAGAGUGAUGGCUGAUUCACAAUUUAUUGUGAUCCCGGCAUGACACAAUGCAGAAGAGUUUGGAUUUACUGGCUCAGGGGUAAACUGUAGAUUAUUCACUGCGUCCAUUUCACUGGCUGAACCAGGAAGCAAUUCCUGGGUCCAUCUGUCAGAAUCUCUGAACUGGGAGGAGGAGAAGAAUGAAGCACGGACAGCUGACCAGCCAGGCAGUCCCCAGAGCUGCCAUGCACUCUGCAGCACGCUUCCUGGGUCUUCAUUCCAAUCAGUGGGACAGUUUCACGCAUAAAUCCUUACCCGAUGGUCAGAUGUGGUCUCCAUCUGCUUUCCUGACCUCACUUGUCUUCUUUAAAGAGCAGCGACUCAGAAUAAUAAAG